rfam:Triticum aestivum genome assembly, contig: Triticum_aestivum_CS42_TGACv1_scaffold_221160_3B
GGGGAUGUAGCUCAAUUGGUAGAGCGCUAAUCAAUGCGGAAUAGAGGCAUGGGGUUCGAUUCCUCGCAUCUCCA